UACGAAGGGGGCUAGCGUUGUUCGGAAUCACUGGGCGUAAAGCGCACGUAGGCGGAUUGUUAAGUCAGGGGUGAAAUCCUGGAGCUCAACUCCAGAACUGCCUUUGAUACUGGCGAUCUUGAGUCCGGGAGAGGUGAGUGGAACUGCGAGUGUAGAGGUGAAAUUCGUAGAUAUUCGCAAGAACACCAGUGGCGAAGGCGGCUCACUGGGGAUUUUCUGACGCUGAGGAACGAAAGCCAGGGGAGCGAACGGG
rnacentral:rRNA from 1 species